GUCGUGGUUCAAAUCAGCUAACGCAGAGAGCAGUGGUGUUUUCAAUUCUAAAAAUCGUUGAAACAUAAAAAAGAGCCAACCGUACUUCUUUUGAAGUAUUCAACAAUACUUUUCACUUUUUCCCUUGUGACAUUUAUUUCCUGCAAAGAUGAUUGGACAACAAGGUUAAGACUGUGAGCAAAGCAUGAUAUGUGUCUCCAAUCACACAAUUGAAUAGCUUUAGUAACAUUUGCAGCGUUAUCUGUUGUGCAUGCUGUCACUUUAUUUUAGGAAAUUUUGCACAUUGAAGGAGAUAAUAUUUUAAUUGACAUGACUUAUCUAUAAAAUGAACAGUCACUGCCAUAUAACUUUCAUUUUUCAAAGAUGUCCAUGCGUCAGUAGUUACAGAAACAUAUUGUGCAUUAACAGCUAUAUCUGAUUUAAUUUCAUCGGAAAUCUUGUUAUAUAGAACAGGAAGUAAUGAAACUGAAAGAGUCUUUUUAGAGGGAAGU